GGCGUAAGGGCUCGCAGGCGGUUUCUUAAGUCUGAUGUGAAAGCCCCCGGCUCAACCGGGGAGGGUCAUUGGAAACUGGGAAACUUGAGUGCAGAAGAGGAGAGUGGAAUUCCACGUGUAGCGGUGAAAUGCGUAGAGAUGUGGAGGAACACCAGUGGCGAAGGCGACUCUCUGGUCUGUAACUGACGCUGAGGAGCGAAAGCGUGGGGAGCGAACAGGAUUAGAUACCCUGGUAGUCCACGCCGUAAACGAUGAGUGCUAAGUGUUAGGGGGUUUCCGCCCCUUACUGCUGCAGGUAACGCAUUAGGCACUCCGCCUGGGGAGUACAGUCCCGAGAAUGAAACUCAAAGGAAUUGACGGGGGCCCGC
rnacentral:rRNA from 1 species